GGCAGCUUGGUGCAGUGGUUUCAGCAUGGGACUAUGACUCUGGAGACCAGGGUUCAAAUCCUCACUCAGCCA